rnacentral:rRNA from 1 species
GAAAGCCCCGCAAGGGGUAAGUAGAGUGGCAAACGGGUGAGUAACACGUGGGUGACCUGCCUUAGAGUGGGGGAUAACGUCCCGAAAGGGACGCUAAUACCGCAUAACAUCCUGCCUUUGAAGAGGUGGAGAUCAAAGCCGGGGACCGCAAGGCCUGGCGCUCAAAGAGGGGCCCGCGCCUGAUUAGCUAGUUGGUGAGGUAAUGGCUCACCAAGGCAACGAUCAGUAUCCGGCCUGAGAGGGCGGACGGACACACUGGGACUGAGACACGGCCCAGACUCCUACGGGAGGCAGCAGUGGGGAAUUGUUCGCAAUGGGCGCAAGCCUGACGACGCAACGCCGCGUGGAGGAUGAAGACCUUCGGGUCGUAAACUCCUUUCGAUCGAGACGAAUGGCCUUUGGGUUAACAGCCCAGGGGUAUGACGGUACCGAGAGAAGAAGCCCCGGCUAACUCCGUGCCAGCAGCCGCGGUAAUACGGGGGGGGCAAGCGUUGUUCGGAAUUACUGGGCGUAAAGGGCUCGUAGGUGGCCAACUAAGUCAGACGUGAAAUCCCUCGGCUUAACCGGGGAACUGCGUCUGAUACUGGAUGGCUUGAGUUCGGGAGAGGGAUGCGGAAUUCCAGGUGUAGCGGUGAAAUGCGUAGAUAUCUGGAGGAACACCGGUGGCGAAGGCGGCAUCCUGGACCGAUACUGACACUG